CAGUUCUCAGAGGGCUUCCAGGAGGAGGUGGCAGACAGUUGGGCUGGGAAGGCAGAGAAAGGUUUAGAUACACAGGAAAGGACUCUGGAGCAGCAAGGACACUGAGCAUUCGCAGUGGCAAGCCAAGGAAGGAAGGUGACCAAUGCCUCAGCCACUGGGCUGCAGGAGCGUGUGUCCAGCUGCAAAGAGGACAAGCAAGAUGCUCAUCAUAGAAUUACAUGGGCGACCUCUAUUUCUCAGACAGUAUCCCUUUCGAUGUCAUUCUGAAACCCACUUCUCUCUUUUUUCAGCAUCACGGGGGCACACAGCAGAUGCUCAGAAAAUAAAGGCCACCAAGCGAGAGGAGGAACAAGCAGGUGAGCAGAGGAAGGAAACCCACUGUAUGUGGCUUAUUCAGUGAUGAUGGAUGAAUCUUGGUAACAACAUGAGGGAGGCGUGAAGAACUGGGAGGCCGGAACACAUACACCCUAUUGCUGCCAUGCAUAACAUAGGUAAGGAGUGAGAGUACACUGUUCUAGCACAGGGAACUCCAGGUCAUGCUCUCUGGUGAAAGGGGAAGAAGUCCCAAAGGGAGGGGACAUACGUGUAUGUAUGGCUGAUUCAUCUUGCUGUGCAAUAGAAUCCAACACAGCGUUGUAAAGCAACUAUCCUCCAAUAAAAAAUUAAUUUAAGAAGGAAAUAAUGAUAACGUGACACUAACAUUUUCAGUCCCUUCCUUCACUGAAUGUUAUUCCAUGUAGG
ensembl:lncRNA